CAACCUGGCGGCAGCUUACCAUGCNAGUCGAGCGCCCCGCAAGGGGAGCGGCAGACGGGUGAGUAACGCGUGGGAAUCUACCUUUUGCUACGGAAUAACUCAGAGAAACUUGUGCUAAUACCGUAUGUGCCCUUCGGGGGAAAGAUUUAUCGGCAAAGGAUGAGCCCGCGUUGGAUUAGCUAGUUGGUGGGGUAAAGGCCUACCAAGGCGACGAUCCAUAGCUGGUCUGAGAGGAUGAUCAGCCACACUGGGACUGAGACACGGCCCAGACUCCUACGGGAGGCAGCAGUGGGGAAUAUUGGACAAUGGGCGCAAGCCUGAUCCAGCCAUGCCGCGUGAGUGAUGACGGUCUUAGGAUUGUAAAGCUCUUUCACCGGUGAAGAUAAUGACGGUAACCGGAGAAGAAGCCCCGGCUAACUUCGUGCCAGCAGCCGCGGUAAU
rnacentral:rRNA from 1 species